rnacentral:rRNA from 1 species
GAGCUUGCUCCUCUGACGUUAGCGGCGGACGGGUGAGUAACACGUGGAUAACCUACCUAUAAGACUGGGAUAACUUCGGGAAACCGGAGCUAAUACCGGAUAAUAUAUUGAACCGCAUGGUUCAAUAGUGAAAGACGGUUUUGCUGUCACUUAUAGAUGGAUCCGCGCCGCAUUAGCUAGUUGGUAAGGUAACGGCUUACCAAGGCAACGAUGCGUAGCCGACCUGAGAGGGUGAUCGGCCACACUGGAACUGAGACACGGUCCAGACUCCUACGGGAGGCAGCAGUAGGGAAUCUUCCGCAAUGGGCGAAAGCCUGACGGAGCAACGCCGCGUGAGUGAUGAAGGUCUUCGGAUCGUAAAACUCUGUUAUUAGGGAAGAACAAAUGUGUAAGUAACUAUGCACGUCUUGACGGUACCUAAUCAGAAAGCCACGGCUAACUACGUGCCAGCAGCCGCGGUAAUACGUAGGUGGCAAGCGUUAUCCGGAAUUAUUGGGCGUAAAGCGCGCGUAGGCGGUUUUUUAAGUCUGAUGUGAAAGCCCACGGCUCAACCGUGGAGGGUCAUUGGAAACUGGAAAACUUGAGUGCAGAAGAGGAAAGUGGAAUUCCAUGUGUAGCGGUGAAAUGCGCAGAGAUAUGGAGGAACACCAGUGGCGAAGGCGACUUUCUGUCUGUAACUGACGCUGAUGUGCGAAAGCGUGGGGAUCAAACAGGAUUAGAUACCCUGGUAGUCCACGCCGUAAACGAUGAGUGCUAAGUGUUAGGGGGUUUCCGCCCCUUASUGCUGCAGCUAACGCAUUAAGCACUCCGCCUGG